rnacentral:rRNA from 1 species
GAUGAACGCUGGCGGCGUGCCUAAUACAUGCAAGUCGAGCGAACGGACGAGAAGCUUGCUUCUCUGAUGUUAGCGGCGGACGGGUGAGUAACACGUGGAUAACCUACCUAUAAGACUGGGAUAACUUCGGGAAACCGGAGCUAAUACCGGAUAAUAUUUUGAACCGCAUGGUUCAAAAGUGAAAGACGGUCUUGCUGUCACUUAUAGAUGGAUCCGCGCUGCAUUAGCUAGUUGGUAAGGUAACGGCUUACCAAGGCAACGAUGCAUGGCCGACCUGAGAGGGUGAUGGGCCACACGGGAACUGGACCACGGUCCGGACUCCUACGGGAGGCAGCAGAAGGGAAUCUUCCGAAUUGGGCGAAAGCCUGCCGGAGCAACGCCGCGUGAGUGAGGAGGUUCUUCGGAUCGUAAAACUCUGUUAUUAGGGAAGACCAUAUGUGUAAGUAAAUGUGCACAUCUUGACGGUACCUAAUCAGAAAGCCACGGCUAACUACGUG